GAGCACCCCGCACAGCCACCGGCUUGCUGUUGACGUCACCUGUGCUCAGAUCACACCUGGGACGCUCUUACCGACCCCUUUCAAGAUUUCUGGGGAGAGAUGAAAACACAUUUGUCCCUUGAGUGAAACAGGAAGUUCAGCAAGUCAAAACAUUGCCUCUACGGAUCUGGUUGGGGUUAUCCAUUUGACAGAAGUGCAUGUUUUUACCUGUAUCAACGUUAAGGCAGGCAGGAGGUCUGAUGCAUCCAACCACAGUGUUGUGAUAAAGGAAGGAAAGCGGAACUUGCCAGCAGCAUACCUCAGCCAGGAGAUGAAACAGUGAACUCCCGCCGCAUACAGGAGCAGGUAUGCUAGCUAGGGCUGUGCAACAUUUAACGCUUUCAGGGUAGAAGCAGAAAGAUAUGUUUUCAAUGGCAAGGAAAUAAUGGCAGGACUAAAGAACAAAAUGGCUGACCAUGUUGGGAGCUGUCUACAAGUUUGCUGAAGAGGUGAAAUCAAGCAGCCCGAGCCAGUUUCUCACCUCCUAGAACACAGGUACUUUCCAGACGGCACCUUUACUGUCUCUCCAUAGAUGCAGAGAGAAGCAUCCAGCCAACAUGACUGUCCUCUCCCCAGAGAAGACAAGGAUAUUCAGGCAACAAGCGGAAAGCAAACAUGACUCUCCUGGAAUGUCUUCAGCCAGAGGGCAAAGCUUUUUAGGGAAUAUAUGGAGAGAGAGAGAAAUAGCUUUGCCACAGGAAGGUCUACAGCUAGAAAAAAAAAAAAAAAAGGUUUAGCCAUGCAAAUUCUUCUUCAGCAACAUAUUCAUCCUAUAAACCCUAUAGGCCAUUGUGGCUUCAGCCACAUCCAUUUUACACAUACUCUCAUGGCCAAAACAAUACUUAGUGAAAAGAAUUAAAAUUGAUGCUGGCUCUGGCUUUGUUUUGGCUGAAAAUACAUCUGUGUUUUGAAAUUUUUAGACUGAAGUUACUGAACUGUAUAUGUAGUUAAAAAUAUGACAGAGGGUUACCUUUAGCAUACAAUGGUGGUUACUUGUAAGAAUUUAAACUUGAACCCAAGCUACAAGAGUUCAUCACUUUUUGUUCAGAGCUGAAACUUCUGGUUUUCAUUAGAUGAAUUUCUCACUCUCACUGCAAUAGCUAUUGCACCAUAAUUUGCUGAAUUUAACUCCGCUCUUUUGUUUUAGUAAUAUAUCACUCUUAUGACUAUGAAUUUCUAUGUUUGGUCUUGAAUAAAAUUAUUUUCCUGAGUAGAAGGUUUCACUAAAGCAUGCCAGAAACACACAGUGUUUCUCUGAGUUGAACCCAGUCCUUCAUUCUUCAGAGGCACACAUUCAGAGGCAUGGUUUCAUGGGGCCCUUCCUUACACAGCUCCCUCUUGCAAAUGUUCUAUUAGUUUUUCUUUAAAUUCACUAAAACUUCUUUUUCUCUGUAGUCCCAGUGUUGUCACUCAUGUGAGCAGCCCAGCUGACUUCAAAGCACAUUCUGCAAAAGUUAUUUGAAUGGUGAAGUGAUGUAACUUACUCUUGUGAAGAGUGAUGCUGUUUUUGUCCCUUUCUGUGAAUUCUGAAAUGUAUAUGCUUUAACACUGAGGAACUAUUUCAUCUGAUACAUGCUAAGAUUGUCAUCUGUAAUAUUUCAGAAACAGUAUCUGUUUACUUUGGUGUUUUUUCCUUCUACUGCCUCAGGAAAGGUAUGCAUAUAUGUGUACCGUUAUGCCAACAGACUAUAUUUUUUCUUUCUGAACAGCUAUGUGAUGAAUUUGUUUAAAUUUUCCAGCAUUUUUGCCUCAUACCUUAAAAACGAUCCUCUUUAGUCCUUAUUCUGUUCUUCAGUGACCUUUUGUUUUUAUGCCUGCUUGAAAGGUUUUGCUCUAAUUUCAUACUCUUUUGUAAAAUCUUUCUCUAUUUUGCUCUCCUUAUCUGUUUUUUAACUUUCUGUUUUAUCUGUUUUUUGUUUGCUUGAAUCCUCUAGGAUUCCUUUUUGAUUUUCUUGUAUUUCCUUUUGCAUCACUGUUAAUCAUUUACUAUUCUUGAACACUUAGAAUUAGGUGCGAUGAAGUCCUGAAUGUACUUGACACAUGCUCAACAUGUAUUUUUACAUCACUUUAUUUUGUCUCUUUACUAUAGCACAUAUUGCUAUGCUACAGCUUAGCUCCAGUUGCAAACUCUUAGCUGUACCCAGAUCAAAACCAAACUCUGCUUUUAUUUUUGCUAUCUUUUCAAUCCUAAGUAUAGACUGUAUGAUGAUAAAUAAAAACUUGUUAAAUGCUUUGUUUUAUAUAUCUAUGUGCUUGUAGAAAAGCAAAAACAAACAAACAACAACAACAACAAAAAACAAAUUCACUAGUCUGAGGGUCAGUUUAUUCUCUUUAUUAAUUCUCUACUUGAACACCAUACUUGUGUUUUUCAAUUCCUGUGCAAAGAAGUUUUACACAUUGUGUUUAUUUUUUCUAAAAAUCAGUGACUAUAUCUGAUGCUAUUCUUUGGCUUUUCCCAACCACACCUAGAAUCUGAAAUUGUCUUUGAUUCAAACAGUUGUAGAUAUCUUCCUAGUGCAGAUGAAAUCAAGUAGUUCAUAAAGUUCA